rnacentral:vault_RNA from 1 species
GUGCUGGCCUAGUCGUGUGGUUACUUCGUUUCACUUUAAACUUAUGCAUACAACUCUAUUCACGUAGAGAGGUUCGCUACCCGUCACCACUGACGCCAUCCGGCACUUUU